UGGGGAAUUUUGGACAAUGGGGGAAACCCGAUGAUCCAGCCAUCCCGCGUGUGCGAUGAAGGCCUUCGGGUUGUAAAGCACUUUUGGCAGGAAAGAAACGUCGCGGGUUAAUACCCCGCGAAACUGACGGUACCUGCAGAAUAAGCACCGGCUAACUACGUGCCAGCAGCCGCGGUAAUACGUAGGGUGCAAGCGUUAAUCGGAAUUACUGGGCGUAAAGCGUGCGCAGGCGGUUCGGAAAGAAAGAUGUGAAAUCCCAGAGCUUAACUUUGGAACUGCAUUUUUUAACUACCGGGCUAGAGUGUGUCAGAGGGAGGUGGAAUUCCGCGUGUAGCAGUGAAAUGCGUAGAUAUGCGGAGGAACACCGAUGGCGAAGGCAGCCUCCUGGGAUAACACUGACGCUCAUGCACGAAAGCGUGGGGAGCAAA
rnacentral:rRNA from 1 species